rnacentral:rRNA from 1 species
AGCGGCGAGCGAACAGGGAAAGAGUCCAGCGCCGAAUUUCCACGUCCUCUGCGGGCGUUCGGAAAAUGUGGCGUUUAGGAGGUCGUGUGCCGCGGCCGGGCCCUGCAGCAAGUCCCCCUGACCGGGGCUGUUACCCAGAGUGGGUGCGAGGCCCAUAGCUGCUAAGCCCGCUGCGGAUGCGACCUCUUGGGAGUCAGGUUGCUUGGGAGUGCAGCCCGAAUCUGGUGGUAAACUCCACCUAAAGCUAAAUACGGCCGUGAGACCGAUAGCAAACAAGUACCGUGAGGGAAAGUUGCAAAGAACUUUGAAGAGAGAGUUCAAGAGUACGUGAAACUGCUCAGAGGCAAACGGGUGGGCCCUCGAGAUCCUCCGGCAGGGGGAUUCAGUCGGGAAAGGCCUGGGCGGCGCGCAGUCGAUCUGUCGGACCCUCCACGGGGACGAGCUGCCGCCGCGGUCCGGGCCGGACCCGACGCAUUUCCUCCUGCGCAAGGACGCCGCAUCCGGUUGGGUAGCUGCGUGAGUCGGCCAUGAGGACGAGCAGUGGAAGUUGGCCGGUGGCGUGGCUCUCCGCCUCGCCGCCGGUUGUUAGCCGGUUCGUCCGUGGCGCGACACCCGACCGAGGUUGAUUGGUUCCUUCAUGGGAACGUGCCGUCCCCUUCGCCCUAUACGGAGCGGGCGCUCCGGCAAGUGUUUCGCGGCGUCGCCACUCCACUCUUCGCAGUGCGUGGUGCGCAGCGUUCCCUGGUGGCCGGUAGCUGCCCGCGGGGGUUGUAGCAUACGGCUGGCGGCGAGCGAGUCGGUCACCCACCCGACCCGUCUUGAAACACGGACCAAGGAGUCUAACAUGUGCGCGAGUCACGGGGUCUUGAAUAGGCCCAGAGGCGCAAUGAAAGUGAAGGCCGAUCUCGCGUCGGCCGUGCCGGGACCUCCCGUCCUCCGCGGCGGGGGAGCACCGGCGGUCCGUCCUGUCCGAUUUAUCGGUUGGCCGGAACCGGAGCGUACACGUUGGGACCCGAAAGGUGGUGAACUAUGCGUGGGCAGGAUGAAGCCAGAGGAAACUCUGGUGGAGGUCCGCAGC